AUGACUAUAUUGAAGCUGGAAUUCAAGAAGAAAUAGCUGAGAGUAAGUCUUGUUUGGCUGAUGUUGAAGUGAAACUUCUAGGGUUUGAUGCAAUGAUCAAGAUUUUAUCAAGAAGAAGACCUGGCCAACUUAUCAAGACUAUUGCUGCAUUAGAAGAUAUGCAGCUUAAUAUUCUUCAUACAAAUAUUACUACUAUUGAAAUGAUCAAGAUUCUAUCAAGAAGAAGACCUGGCCAGCUUAUCAAGACUAUUGCUGCAUUAGAAGAUAUGCAGCUUAAUAUUCUUCAUACAAAUAUUACUACUAUUGAACAAACUGUUCUCUACUCAUUCAAUGUCAAGGUAUUUAUCCUGCCAUCUAAUUGUUUUCACAUACUAACAAUGUUUAACGCUAUGUUGCCCGGACUCUCCAAAAUAUUGUUGCACCGAGGGGCGAAGGCACAAGCCGAACUACGGGUUCGGCUGAACUCAGUAAUUUUUGCUCAAAUAGUGUAUUUGGUGUUUAAAAUCAUCAAAUAUAAACAAAUAUUAAAUACCACAUAAUUGAUUAUGUUUAACACUCUGUUGCUCGGACUCUUCAAAAUCUUGACGCACCCAGGGGCUGAGGCACAAUUCAACUAAGCCUAGCAGUUUUUGCUCAAACAGUAUAUUUGGUGUUUACAAUUCAUCAAAUAUAUACAACAACAACAACAACCCAGUAUAAUCCCACUUAGUGGGGUCUGGGGAGGGUAGUGUGNNN
rnacentral:lncRNA from 1 species